rnacentral:rRNA from 1 species
UACGUAGGGGGCAAGCGUUGUCCGGAUUUAUUGGGCGUAAAGCGCGCGUAGGCGGCGCGGUAUGUCGUGCGUGAAAUCUCCCGGCUUAACUGGGAGGGGCCGUGCGAAACUGCCGGGCUUGAGGUCGGAAGGGGAAAGUGGAAUUCCGGGUGUAGUGGUGGAAUACGUAGAUAUCCGGAGGAACACCAGCGGCGAAGGCGGCUUUCUGGUCCGAUACUGACGCUGAGGUGCGAAAGCGUGGGGAGCGAGCCGG